UACGAGAGGUGCGAGCGUUAAUCGGAGUUACUGGGCGUAAAGGGCGCGUAGGCGGUAGUAUGGGUGUGAUGUGAAAGCCCUGGGCUUAACCUAGGAAGUGCAUCGCAAACUAUACAACUGGAGUAUAUGAGAGGGUGGCGGAAUUUCCGGUGUAGCGGUGAAAUGCGUAGAGAUCGGAAGGAACGUCAAUGGCGAAGGCAGCCACUUGGCAUAAUACUGACGCUGAUGCGCGAAAGCGUGGGGAGCGAACAGG
rnacentral:rRNA from 1 species